UGAUCUCAUGUUGCGGGCUUUAAACUAGCUUCACUGGGGGAAGGGGCUGCUUUGAGUGAAGAGGAUACUUCACCAGCACGCAGGGUGACGAGAGGAAGGGAAGAACAGGUUUAAGGGACAUCUGUUUCUAUGUUUGCUAGUAGUAAUAAAAGAAAGGAGAAUGAAUGAAUGGUGAGAUAGGGAUCCAUGCAUUCAGUCCACUCGGAUCUGAACCUGAUACCUUCCACAUCCAGACCGGGGUCAAACAAAGUUGUGUGAUCGUCCCCACCUUGUUUACCAUCUACCUGACCAUCAUCAUCCACCUCAUCCAAGAUGAUCUACCAUCUGGCGUCCGUAUCCAGUAUCGACUGGAUGGGAAGCUUUUUCAUCUUGGGCACUUCUGGGCAUAAAUGAAGCUCACCACCAAGGACACCCACAACCUUAAGUUUGCUUCUGAUUGCUGCUUGAUGGCUGACUCUGCACAGGAUAUGCAAGCGACCCUAGAGCUCUUCAACACUUUGUACAAGAGACUUGGCCUGUCCCUGAAUGCUGCCAAGAUGAAGCUUCUCCAAAAACCCUUCCUAGGCCUGCUGGAGAACUGAACAUCCCUUGCACUAUCUAUAUAGACGAGGAGGCUCCGCAGUACGUGGAGCACCUUCCAUAUCUCAGCAGCCACCUCCCUCAAUGGGCUACCAUCAAUAAAGAAGUCCAGCACCAGGUCAGCUGCUCAAGGGGUUCUGCCUUCAAGCUGUGACAAUGUGUCUUCAAAAAUAGGGACCUUGGGAAGUCGAUGAAGGUCCUGGUUUUUAAGGCUGUUGUGCUGACCACCCUCCACUACUGCAGUGAAACCUGGACCAUCUACCCAUACCUCAUUAAGGCCCUCGAGAGUUUUGACCGGUGGUGCUUGCAUCGAAUCCUGGGGACCAAAUAGGAGGACUGCCAGACCAGCAUGUGCAUCCUCCAUGAAGCUGCAUCAACCAACAUCAAAGCCUUGCUCUUGAGAAAUCAACUCCAAUGAAUAGGCCACUGAGUCUGGAUGUCCAAGAACCACCUCUUUCUCACCAGAUUCUCUUCUCCCAGCUCUCCAUUGGCCAAUGCUCAAAGGGAUGCCAAAGGAAACAGUACAAAGACAAACUCAAGGUUACGCGCAAGCACCGGGGCAUAGACACCAAUGGCUGGGAGGAGCAAGCUGCUGACCAUUCAGCAUGGCACCACCUGGUCCACCAAGGUGUCUGCCACUUUGAGGCACAAUGACAUGAUAGUGAGGUGGAACGGUGGUGGUGGAGGAAGCAGAAGAGGCCAACUCAGUACUCCGAAUCCCACUCCCCCGUGCAACAACAUGCCCCCUUUGUCAAAGAACGUGUGCAUCUAGAAUCAGGCUCCUCAGUCACCUGAGGACCCAUCAAGCCUGAUGGAUGUCAUCCUCAACCUCGAGGGACCACCAAUGCAUGCAUUCAGUGCAGGUUUCCAGAGAGCUCAGCUCCCAUUUAUGUAUCAGAAAAGGGGAACAAUUUUUGGAAGAGCUCAGAUCUUUGGGUUCUGAGCACUGCUAGAAAAUCUGAGCAAGAGCUGAUCUGGCAAGGGGCAUGUGGGAUAAUUUUGUGUCAACAAAGGAAGAAUUUUGUGUGUGAAAGCAUCUAAUCAUUGAUCUUGUGUUGUUCUCUAUUGUUUUUCCUCCUUACGUCUCCAUUUUCAUAUAAUGUCAACCAUAAUGAUAGUCCCUAGGGAGAGGGUACUUUUCCUUUCUUGCAAUGGUGAGAGCAGCACUGCCAGGGACCGGAUGAGAGUUCUUAUUGCUCAGCACUAAUUGCUGCUCACAGGCAGUCUAGGAAAAAUGUCUUUUCUGCCUGUUCAUCAGAAAGAAGUUUGGAGCCAGUGCUUGCAAGUGUCUUCGGUCAUUUUUAAGUAAACUUGCAAAGACAUGUUUUCCCCACAUGCACUUGACAGAGUGGGGUUUUUAAAGUGACCUUUUUUUUUUUUUUUUAAUGCUUAACCACUGGGAAUGAAUACAAGGGUAAUUAAAACUGCGAGCAUCUCUUUGCCCAGAAGAAUUACAGGCAUGGAAAUUGGGGUAAAACUGCACUUCAUAAAUUUAGUGGAUACAAAACAUCCUGGACUACAUAUAGGGUAUAAUGUGCCAUAAAUCCAAUGUCUGUUUGCUAUCUGGUUAACCUCAGGUAACCUCUGUACAUUUUACCAGCUAUUUUCUUAUCACCAGGUCAACACUCCUUUCCCCGCCAUGUACCUGUCUCACACCUGUUGUCUCCCAUAUCCUCUGUCCCUCACUGCAUUGUAUUUGCAUUUUCACAGACCUGGAUUUUGCAUAUUGGCCUCCUCUUCCAUUCCAGCAAAUCACUUUGGAACCAAGAGUUCUAGUUUGUUGCAUGUCUUCUAUUCCAUGCAGCUACUUCAGAGUCUAUGCCCUGCAAGACAUCAUAGUGAUAUCAUGACUGAAACCCCCCAGACUUUCAACUGGAAGUUGACAUUGAUAGCAAUGGAUUUACAGAUCAAAUUAAUAUUCUGAAACAUAAUUAACUCUAAUUGAAGUGAUCUAUAAUUCAGUUCAACCUGAGUGGAGCAUCCAUAAUAGUCUUUUCUUUUAACCUUCCAAUUUCCCUUUCCUUACAAAUGAUGUUAGUACUAGUGGAAUUUGAGGUAGGGGGAGGAGGAGGAAUAGCAGGGAAACAGCUUGUUCCACUUGUAUGGUAUAUUGAAUGUGUGACCUUUUUAACUUUUAUUUACAAUGAAGCCUACCGGCUAACCCCACACUGAAGCACCCUUAUGCCCCAGGCAGCCCGGCCACAGCAUGUUGAGCUGAGGGGAGCAGCCCUGGGCCUGCAGGCUGACCCCAGGGCCCCCCACCAUCCACGGCUCCUCCAAUCUGGCUCAACAUGCUGCAGUCCUGGGCAAACAUUCAAACAGCAUGUCUGGAAGCACUAAACUCUGAAGCAAUAAACUCCAGGGUUUAUCGCUUCACAUUAAUGUAGAUACACCCAACCGGUAGGUCUUUUCAUGCAGCUAGUUACUACUCUACAGAAGGGAAGGUGGCAGAAGGAGGGUUAACAUUUCUCUGUGAGCUAUUUGGUGAAUUCAAAAUCCUUGCUGCUUUUCUGCUCUAGGAAAUAAGGAAACCUCUUAGUCCCCCGUGGGCACACAGGUGCUUCAAGUGGCAGCACUAGGUUGGAAAGGACUUGGACUCCAACCUGCCAGUAGCAUAACUGAACUGCAAUGGAGAGGGGAAGCCUGGCAAGGGUUAUUUCUCCUGGCACAGCUUACCUUCCUCCUUGGAGACAGCAGGGGCUGUAUUGAGAUAGCACUAGUUGUCAUUGUCAGGACAAAACCAGCUAAUUAUCAUAUUUACUACGGUGGUCCCUAAAGCCCCAGACUGUAAUGAGGACCUUAUUGUGCUAGGCAGCUGUACACACAUAGUUUGAUACAGUCCCUGCCUUGAAGAAUUUACCUUCUAGAUGGGCAAUAAGGAAAAUAAUGUUUAUAGCCUCCCCAUAUUUAAUGUAUAGGAAACUGGAGCUCAGAUUGCUCAUGGGCACCUAUAGAAUCUCAUCUUAUUUUCUACAGUGAUCCAGGCCCAUAGCCUUUAAGUCUCUGGCUUUCACUGACACUUGAGCUUUCUAAGUGCCAACCUCAUUUGUGAUAGUACUUAGACUUCUGAAUCAGCACAUAGUUCCAGAAAGAAAUUAAUGAUGAGACUUGCCCAAGGUCACAUGUCAAAUCUGUGGCCGACCUAGGAGUAGAAGAUGUUACUUCUGAGCCUCUGCACGUUGCUUCAACACAAGGUCCAGCCUCUUUCCGCACCUUGGUAUACUUGCUUUUUCAAGAGUGCCUGUCAUUGUGGUUUCCAGUUUAUCUGCUGGUCUCCCAUCUCAAUAUCUCCCCUCCUCCCCCCUCAAAUAAAGCAUUUCAAGCAAGGCGGUGAAUUCCCUGUCCCUUCCAGUGAGUGAGCAAGCUCCUCAAUCUCACAUGGUAAGUGUGUGUAUUACAGCACACACUAAAGCAAAUCCUGUGAUCAACAGCUUCCAUUUGUUGCUUCACACUGUUACUUUAAUUUCACCUCAAACUUACAUGUCAAACUUUGUUAGCUUUACUUGCAUUGCCAUAGCAGAUGGAUGGCAGCCUUGGAAGGAUCUGUUUCUGCUUUUGUUUCUCAUUUAACAUAUAACUAUGUACAACAAGAAACAGAACCCACAACUGAACUAGGUUAUAGUUAAAGGGUUCAUAGUGGUGUGACUAAAUGAAUGGAAAAUCCA